rnacentral:rRNA from 1 species
GACGAACGCUGGCGGCGUGCUUAACACAUGCAAGUCGAACGGUGAAGCGCCUUCCUUUUUGGUGGGUGUGGAUGAGUGGCGAACGGGUGAGUAACACGUGAGUAACCUGCCCCCUUCUUCUGGAUAACCGCAUGAAAGUGUGGCUAAUACGGGAUAUUCUGGGUCUGUCGCAUGAUGGGUCUGGGAAAGAUAUUGUUUCGGUGGGGGAUGGGCUCGCGGCCUAUCAGCUUGUUGGUGGGGUGAUGGCCUACCAAGGCGGUGACGGGUAGCCGGCCUGAGAGGGUGGACGGUCACACUGGGACUGAGACACGGCCCAGACUCCUACGGGAGGCAGCAGUGGGGAAUAUUGCACAAUGGGCGCAAGCCUGAUGCAGCGGCGCCGCGUGAGGGAUGGAGGCCUUCGGGUUGUGAACCUCUUCCGCCAGUGAAGCAGGCCUGCCUCGUUUGUGGGUGGGUUGACGGUAGCUGGAUAAGAAGCGCCGGCUAACUACGUG